rnacentral:tRNA from 1 species
UGCGGGGUAUACAAGCGGUCAAAGUGAAUGGGCUCAUAACCCAUUACCGAAAGGUUUCGAGGGUUCGAAUCCCUCCCCCGCUA